UGGGGAAUAUUGGACAAUGGGCGCAAGCCUGAUCCAGCCAUGCCGCGUGAGUGAUGAAGGCCCUAGGGUUGUAAAGCUCUUUCACCGGUGAAGAUAAUGACGGUAACCGGAGAAUAAGCCCCGGCUAACUUCGUGCCAGCAGCCGCGGUAAUACGAAGGGGGCUAGCGUUGUUCGGAUUUACUGGGCGUAAAGCGCACGUAGGCGGACUAUUAAGUCAGGGGUGAAAUCCCGGGGCUCAACCCCGGAACUGCCUUUGAUACUGGUAGUCUUGAGUUCGAGAGAGGUGAGUGGAAUUCCGAGUGUAGAGGUGAAAUUCGUAGAGAUUCGGAGGAACACCAGUGGCGAAGGCGGCUCACUGGCUCGAUACUGACGCUGAGGUGCGAAAGCGUGGGGAGCAAACAGG
rnacentral:rRNA from 1 species